GCGGGCCCCGAUCCAAUAGGAUUCGUGUCCUUUUGAGAAGACAGAGACACCAAACAGAGACCAACUGAGACCAGAGGCAGAGACCGGAGUGAGGAGACUGCACACCAGGGAAUGAACGCCAAGGAUCACCAGCAGCCGCCGGAAGCUGGAAGGCACAGAGAGGGACUCCCCUACCUGUUUCAGAGGGGGCACGGCUCUGCUCACACCCGUUUUAGACCUCUGGCCUCCGGAACUGGGGGAGGAGACAUUGUUUGAAGCCGCCUGGUUUGUGCGCUUUGUCACGGCAGCUCUGGAAACUGACACACACCCACGGCCACGACAAAGGCCCUUCACCCCUGAGCUUGUGUCCAGCACCUUUCAUGUUCCACUUUGAAACAGCACCUGAGCAGGACGGAUGCUGUAGGUGCGGGUGAGCCAGGACCCUCAGGAAGCAGCUGUCCGCAGAGGAGACACCUACAAACAAGAGAGCACAGACUUACACGGAUGCCCGUGUCGAACUGAUUCCGCGAGGUGAAGUCUUCGUGGAGUGUGGACUGGACACGGUGGGGGGUGAGUGGUCAGCUGUGGACACGGUGGAUGGUCUACAUCAUCUGCUGCCCGUUAAACUGCCAAAGUUUAUUGACCACACCUCUUACCAGACAGCUUCUCUGCUAUUGGCUUGAACGAAUCAGGAAACGAAAAUUUAUAAACCAAGUAAGGACAUAUUAUGAAUCUGCUCCUUUCAAGCACACAACACAUUUAUCAGUUUUUAUGUGCCAUCGGAUGGGAGGCAUCACGAAACAAGAUUCACACGAAUCCUGAAGGACACCUAAGGCUUUGAUCUGAAAGUCUAGAAAAGUCUGGAGUGACGCUCCUGGUUACGUACUGGUUCCACCUGCAGUGAGAGCUCUCUCCGGCUCCUGGAACUCCUUGUGGCAUUAGUCUCUGCCCAUAAGUCUUCUACAAGGAAGCGAGCUUGUCAGCUCAAAAUUUGACCUUUGAUUUCACGUAUUUUGUUCAGGAAAGCACGUUACCCGACACCCAGAGCAGCACAGCAGAAAGCCCCCUGAGGCCGUGCUUCCCUUCCUGACUAUCAGCUCGGAGAACCUCCCCGUCUUGAUGGAAAUUUCCAUUCAUGGGCAUUUUUCUCACAUGCUUCAUUGAGUCUUCAAAACAACUGGAUUUCUAUUGGGUACGUGUUAGGAACGCCAAAGAAAUUAAUGAUGAACAAUGCAAUGAACUUCAGUUGUUCUGAUGGGGGAAAAGACAAACUUCUAAGGCUGGCGGCACUUGUGAGACAACAGUGCCCAUUUUCUGGGCUAUCUUCCAUCCAGAUGACGGUCCUCUGGUGAUGCAGGUGACCAGCGUCCAGGUGACGCGGCAGUCCUGCGUUAAGUGUUUUCAUGGACCGAUUCACACGAUCCCACCACUCUCCUCCAGAGCCUAUGAGACAGGAACCCUGAUUUUUCUCAUAUUAUCCAUGAGGAAACUAAAGCAAUGGGAAGGCUGGCUUCUAAUACCUAAUUAGUUGAUGUACCAGGAGGAUUCUGCAUCCUGGGUGCUAUCUGGAGAUCUCCUGGGGACACGUGAUACGUGGAUCGCCUGGGACCCGUGUGGCCGUGGGCAGCGCACCCUCAGGAAGGGUCCUGGGGAAGUGGCCUUGAAGUCAGUAGCUCAGCCACGUCAGAAUGAUGUGCCUUGUCUCACCCCAAGCCCUGAAGUUCAAGUACAGGUCUCACGUUCCCCUCCAUUUCAGUCAUUAGCAACAAGCGGAUGUAAACGUAGGCACCAGGCACACCUGUGCUGGGGAGCCACAGGUUAAUCAUUAGGGGCCAUUGGCUCCUUGUGCAGACUGACCUCAAGGGACAAGGAGGAGGGGUUUCCACGAUGGCUGUCAUGUGGCCUUUUCCACGCACCACAUCCUCGAGCCCACCAGGAGGUUUUGUGAAUUACCUCAUCAAUGCAAUAAAAACAACAAUACAAAUGGCCCUGUGAGGGAGUGUGUUCUUUAUUUAAAAGCCAAAGGGUAAGAAAUGGUGUUUGUGGGUCAGCAAGUUUUGCUGAAUCUGGUAAGUGCCCGGAUCGGUUUUUAAAUGCACGUUUGUAUGUCUUCCGGCCACGUAAGCAAGCUGCCUUCGGUGGCUAUUUCCUGGCCGAGAGUGAGUGACCGGGAUAGACCUCACCCAGGAAGCCAUCAGAACCAACCUUCUGAGCUUGGGUGGUGCUCACACAGACACCUCGAAUCUCAAUGGCGAGCAGACAGAGCCAGGAGGAGCAGUCGACAUUUCAUAGGAUGUUUGCCGUAGACGCCUUUCUCCUACUGAUGUAUUCCAGAAGACGAAUGUACUAGUCUAAAUUAGUUUUUUUUUUUUUUUCCUUCUUUCCCUGCUGGUAAUUAGCACUAGAGGGGAUGGGUCUGAGUUAACUAUUAAUAGUUUAGAAGUAAACCUGAAUUUUAGCAACAGCACAUUACCAGACAGUAAAAACCUGAUUCUUCUGCUUCUGUUAAGAGCUUAUCAAUGAAUGGGAGCUUCCGACUGUGUCUGACUAUCGAACAAUCAUGUUCCCAGCUGAUGUUCGCUUAUGCUGUACACUGCUGUAUACCUGCACUGUUGUCUAACAGUGUUAAUCUCUCCUAGCUGUGAGGGGUGCACAGAGAGCUUCCACAACGUCCCCGAGCCAUCGGGCGACGCCUCCGCUCACACACCAGCCUUCGGGACUCCCCACGUCUCGCUGGAGCACCUCUGCCUAGACGUGGGGACCUAACCCAAAGCAAGGGCAGAUUACGGAGCACGGAGAACCCCUGCCUCUGGCUACGUUAGCCAAGUCGACCAGGAUGGCUGUUACUCUCCCGCGUGUGCUUGGAGGAAAACAAGAAACAGAGUGAGGGCAGGUGGGCACGUCCGGCACCUACACGGGGCCGGGCACGCGGGGGCUCAUAGCAGCCCUCCUCCCUCUUCACCAAGCGUUUACAUCUAACUAUAUUUAACCCCCACCAAAAUGCAAUGUGGCGGUAACGGACCCACCUCCCAGAGGCGAAACUUAAGCUCAGAGAGGCUGGGGACUUCGUACGUUCACAUGACCGGUAACCGGCAGACUCAGGGGUCUGUCCGGGCGGAUGGGCCCAAAGGUCGACCGUCGUCACUGGACCACGUGCCGUGCGUGAUGGCCGUCCUCUGCCCUGUGCCCUUUGUCUUCCUCCUCCCGGUUAAUCCUCCUUAGAAGAACACAGAAAUAUGUAAACUCGAGGAACAGGAAAUAAAAUUUCGAGCUCAGUGACGGCAAGCUGGAAUGUGCAGAGAGCCCGUGGCCGGGACGGGAAACGUCGGUAGAUGCGCCGCAGCAUUCAUCCAGAGCGUCCUUCCCCGCGGGAGACGAGAACGUGAGCCAUCCCCCCCGGCACCUCCACCCACCCGUGCCCUGCUCUCUCUCCCAGCCGCUGCCCUGCGCCCGAUCCUGCCACUUGUCACCAAAUAGCCAGUGUUGUAUCUCAUCAGUAAAGCGGAGCAAAAAGUACUUGCCCGGAAGUCCCCGGAGGGUCGUUGGAAGAGCGAGCGACAAGAGCUGUGGAAAAGAAGACGAACGCACAGGCCGAGUGUGGCAUCGCUGCUGUCCUGCUCGAGUCCGACUGCCCAUCUGGCACCGGCAGGUGCACAGGGCGGGGCCCCCAGGCUGCCCGACGGCAGGAGCCAGCCGGCUACCGCAGACCCCUCGGCCCUCAGGCAGCCGCAGACCACAGUCCACAAGAGACACUGUAUUUUUAGUUAAAUCGAGCCUUCCUCCGCAUUAAAUACCCUCCCAAGAUAUGACGGUAUC